rnacentral:rRNA from 1 species
CGGAGAGUUUGAUCCUGGCUCAGGAUGAACGCUAGCGGCAGGCUUAACACAUGCAAGUCGAGGGGCAGCAGGAGAAGACUUCGGUCUUCUUGCUGGCGACCGGCGCACGGGUGAGUAACACGUAUGCAACCUGCCCUUGUCAGGGGGACAACCCGGCGAAAGCCGGGCUAAUCCCGCGUAUAUGCAUCGAGGGCAUCCUAGAUGCAGGAAAGGCUUCGGCCGGACAAGGAUGGGCAUGCGGCGCAUUAGGUAGUUGGAGGUGUAACGGACCACCAAGCCGACGAUGCGUAGGGGUUCUGAGAGGAAGGCCCCCCACACUGGUACUGAGACACGGACCAGACUCCUACGGGAGGCAGCAGUGAGGAAUAUUGGUCAAU